rnacentral:lncRNA from 1 species
CCACUAGGAUCUGAAUCCAUCCCAAGAGAGAAUGAUAUGAUAACCCCGCUCACUGUAGAUGCGGCGUAGAUAACAUCGUUUACGACAACAGCCCUCCCCACAAAAGAAGGAUAAGGCUUAGUACCAGUCAUAUCAUCAUCAACUGUAGGUACGUAAACUGGGUGCCAUGUUUCACUGGCAAUGUGAAAAAGCACGAACUCAGAUGGUCCAAAGUCAUACAAUGAAAUUAGAAUACAACCGUAACAAACAGUCUAGCCCAUAACCUCCACAUAGGAAGGUCCCGUUUUCUGACCAUAUUUUGGAAAAGGAUUGAGAGGCUCCCAAAUGUCCUUGGGAUUAUAACACUCAAACGAUGGAUUUGUUAUAAGGGGGAAGGAUGCUGGAUCAGUAAGAUGGUAAAGCUUGGAGGGGCUGCCGUACCUCACACCGUCCAAUAUAAUAUAAUCGGGGACUGGGACUGGGAACUCAGAUGAUUUUUUUGGAUCGAAGAACCAGUGAACAGGUUCAAGUGGCCUACAUGUUUCUCCUCCCAAAACUUCUCCUGCUUGGUUGAUUUUCAACUCAUAUAAGGCUGCUCUGAACGGGCGAGGAAUAAAGUUCAUCAGCAUUAACACAGAUGUUGUAGGGCUCUCCCCCUCCAUGGGCAGGCUGACCACAACAAUAUUACAGUCCAAGUUCAGAUAAAAUUUUCAAAUUUAACAAAAUAAAAUGCCUCUACUUUUAAUCAGUGGUUCCAAAUUCAAACAGAUUACUCUUCUAAAAUGGUGGCACUAGACAUAAUAGCUGACAUCAAACACUGUAUCGAAAUUUAUGAAUAAAAAUUCAAUUAGAUAAAACAAAAAUUAAAAAAUAAUGUAUAAAUCAAGCGACUGACCUUGUUGCUGUCUGGGAAGUCAUCUGAAAGAGAGUGGAAGAAAAUCCGAUCAGAAGUUCAACUGUGUUAGAAAGAAAUCGGAUGAAUCAGAGACGGGAGAGUGAUUGUAUCCAAUUCCAACAUUGCCUAGCCAACACCGCCUCGUCCUUGUAGGGUGCUCCAUACCUACCCUCUUCUUAUUUAGCUCGUCAAAUUCGAUGGAUUGGGUCCAUGAAAUUUCUUUGUUCCUAAUUCAUGUUUGUCUACUUGUUGCACCUUAUUUCACUUGUUACUAUACUCUCUCCUUUGUGUGAAAAUUCUCAAAUCAAAUACAGAACUCCCUCCUACUUGUGAACGUGCUCGUUGAUCUUUCUUCUUUUUAAACUGCAGUUAAUGGCAUUCAGUUCAUCACACAAGUUAAUGUAGCAAGACUGGACAAAGCUCGGUUUCAACUUUCGAGGUGAGGGUUUCUAUUCCUUUAGUUAUAUUCUGUAGAAUAUUGCAUCCACUAUGAGGAACUAGAAGCUAGGUGAACACAAAAUCAUUGAAAAAAUAACCAAACCAUUAAAACUAAAACAACACAUGAUACUCUUUCAGGGUAUGUAUGGAAUCCAAACAAUACCCUCAAGAGUUAAUAAGUCUUCACAAAUUCACCCGCUAUGAGAUGUUAGAAGCUAGGUUCACACAAAUUCACGAGAAAAAUAGACAAAUCAUUAAAACCAAAGAAACUCCCAAGAUUUUAAGUCUUUACAAAUUCACCUGCUAUGAGAAGCUAGGUGUACACGUAAAAUCGCUAGAACGGACAAACCAUAAAAACAACACCUAAUGCAUGUUUUGUUCAGAGUAUUUCCUCUACCUUCUUGAUCCUUAAGGUUGCAUGUAUACGACUCAGUAAACCGGGAAAGCACGUGUUUAUCUCCUCGUUGAUCUUGUCGAGCUCUUCAUCCUUGACGUAGUGGACAUAAACAUUUCGUAUUACUCGGAUCAAAUCCUCAACGCUAUUCCCAUUUAAUUUUUCUCAUUUCUCUUUUUGUGUAAAUUUUUUUGACUUAUCCAGAUAACCAUCUAUGACUAUCUUGGUGUCCCAAUUUCUGAAUUCUUCAAAAUCAAGGCCUCUAAUUUUCGUGUCAAAACAAGGACCAUUGAGCCUUGUUUUGUCUUCUUUGAUUGGUGAAAAUCAAAGUAACAUUUGAGCCUACUGAACUCACUCUUCAAAGUUGGGUGAUUGAUGAGCAUAGAGACAAACCUAUCAUAACUAGGAAACAGAUUAAGUUUUCAGGUAUAAGAAUAAUAUGCCAAAUAAUUUAAUUGAAUAACAAAUCGAUCGUUUGGAAGUGCUUUCAAAUGAAUAAAAGUGCUUUUAGAUAAAAUCUUUUCGGGUUCCAAAAACACUUGAAGUGCUUUUCCUGUAUUGUUUCCAAAAAAUUUCCACAAAAAGCGCUUUCGGUCAUUUUAAAAGCACUUCCAAACAAGCCUAAACUUGUUUACUUACUUCCACGAGUAAGCUUGCCCCACCAUUUGUGAAGCAAUUGAGAAAUUGUGUCCUAUCCACUAUCGUCAGUGGGAAUUUAUCAGUGAUAAAUUCACCCAAAUCUGACAAGUCUUGAAACCUUUGUGUAUGGCCGUCAUUCCCGCUCUUAAUGUUAAAAAUCAUCACAUCAUCGCCUAAGAUCACAUAGCUGGAUACUUUCUUUAAUUCCCUAUGAAUCUGAUCCUUGUUGUGCAUAUACUGUAUCGUCAUAAGUGUCUUCCUACACAAGUAAGCAACUUUAAUAAGUUCCACGUACACGUAUAGUCACACACACGCACACACAAAGAAACACAUGAACACUUACUAACGAGCAUUCUCCACCACAGGUCGGUGCAAUUGUUUCUGUUUGUCCACUGAUUGUAGGUGGAAAAUGUUCGUUAGUAAGCGUUCAUGUGUUUCUUUGUGCGUGCGUGCGUGUGACUAUACGUGUACGUGGAACUUAUUAAAGUUGCUUACUUGUGUAGAAAGACACUCAAGACAAUAUAAUAUAUGCACAACAAGGAUUAGAUUCGUGGGGAUUAAAGAAAGCAUCCAGUUAUGCGAUCUUAGGCGAUGAUGUGAUGAUUUUUAACAUUAAGGACAGGAAUGACAGCCACACGCAAAGGUUUCAAGACUUGUCAGAUUUUGACGAAUUUAUCAUUGAUAAAUUCCCACUGACGAUAGUGGAUAGGACACAAUUUCUCAAAUUGCUUCAAAAUGGUGGGCAGGCUUACUCGUGGGAGUAAGUAAACAAGUUUAGGCUUGUUUAGAAAUGCUUUUAAAAUGACCAAAAACGCUUUUUGUGGAAAUGUUUUUGGAAACAAUCUAGGAAAUUGCUUUUGGAACCCAAAAACAUUUUCUCUAAAAGCACUUUUAUUCAUUUGAAAACACUUCCAAAUGAUUGAUUAGUUGUUCAAUUAAAUUAUUUGGUAUAUUAUUCUUAUACCUGAAAACUUAAUUUGUUUCCUAGUUAUGACAGGUUGUCUCUAUACUCAUCGAUCACCCAACUUUGAAGAGUGAGUUCAACAAGCUCAAAUGUUACUUUGAUUUUCACCAAUCAAAGAAGCACAAAACAAGGCUCAAUGGUCCUUGUUUUGAUACGAAAAUUAAAGGCCCUGAUUUUGAAGAAUUCAGAAAUUGGGACACCAACAUAGUCAUAAAUGGUUAUCUGGACAAGUCAAAAAAAUUAACACAAAAAGAGAAACGAGAAAUUAAAUGGGAAUAGUGUUUAGGAUUUGAUCCGAGUAAUACAAAAUGUUUAUGUCCACUAUGUCAAGGAUGGAGAGCUCGACAAGAUCAACGAGGAGAUAAACAUGUGUUUUCCCGGUUUACUGAGUCGUAUACAUGCAACCUUAAGGAUCAAGAAAAUGUAGGAAAUACUCUGAACAAAGCAUGCAUCAGGAUUUGUUUUUAUGGUUUGUCCAUUGUUCUAGUGAUUUUAUGCGUACACCUAGCUUCUAGCUUCUCAUAGCAGGUGAAUUUGUAAAGACUUAAAAAUCUUGGGAGUUUCUUUGGAUUCAUGUAUACUUGAAAGAGUUAAAGGUGUUGUUUAGUUUUAAUGAUUUGUCUAUUUUUCCCUUUGUGUGAACCUAGCUUCAAGCGGGUGAAUUUGUGAAGACUUAUUAACUCUUGAGGGUAUUGUUUGGAUUCCAUGCAUACCUGAAAGAGUACCAGAUGCUGUUUUAGUUUAAUGGUUUGGCUAUUUUUUCAGUGAUUUUGUGUUCACCUAGCUUCUAGCUUCUCAUAGCGAAUGCAAUAUUCUACAGAAUGAAACUAAAGGAAUAGAAACCCUCACCUCGAAAGUUGAUAAGCAGACUGAUUGUAGGUGGAGAACAUUCAUUAAUGAGCAGGUUUUGAUGUGCCAAAGUCUGAAAGUAUGAUAUGAGAAGCUAAGAGCUAGGUGAACACAUAAAAUCACUGGAACAAUAAAUAAACCAUUAAAACAACACUUGGUUCAACAUACGAUGAAAUUAAACUUCAUAGCUCUAAGGAAUAUACUUCACCAUAAAGUUGGUGUUCUUAGCUCUAAGGAAUAAUAUACUUCAAAAGUGAUACAUGCAUUUCAUACAAAGUCCUCGACGUUCUUCAUCCUUAAGAUAGCACGUAGAUGACUCAAUAAACCUGGAAAAGACUCGUUUAUCUCCUUGUUAAUCCCGGUGAAGUUUCCAUCUUGGGUGUGGUGCACAUAAACGUUCGGUAUAAGCUUGAUUAAAUCUUCAAUGUCAUCUCAUCGAUAAGUUUUUUUUUUGUUUGUUUCUCUAUGUCGCUUUGCUUCGUCGAGAUAACCAUCUUCGACAAUCUUGGUGUCCCAAUCUUUUGAAUCUAUGAAAGUUAAGCUUUUAAUAACCUUGUGAAAGUGGGAAUCAUUGGGCCUUGUUCUAUGUCUUUUCGAUUGGUGAAUAUCGGCAAAAUAUUCAAGCCUUUUGAAGUCACUCAUCAGACUUGGAUGAUUUAUGAGCACAUUGAUAAAAUUCGCAUAACUAGGAGGGAAAAAAACAAUAAGUCUUUGGCAUAUAAGAAUAAUAGGCAAAUAGUUUUACUUAAUAAUAAAGUUGUUUACUUACUACAAUAAGCAAGCUGGUCCAUCAAUUUUGAAGCAAACAAGAAAUAGUGUCUUGUCCACUAUUGUCAUAGGCAACGUUUCGGAGAUAUACUCGCCAAAGUCUGAAAGAUCUUGGAAUUUUUGGCUAAUCUUUUGGCUCUUAUCCACACUUUUAAUGUUCAAUAUCUUCAAAUCUUCAAUAACAACCACGUAACUAAAAACUUUAUUUAAGCAUAACAAGAACCAAACACAUGGAAGCUUAAAUAAAGCUUCUAGUUACGUAGUUGUUGGUGAAGAUUUAAAGAUAUUGAACAUUAAAAGUGUGGUUGAGAGCCAAAAGAUUAGCCAAAAAUUCCAAGAUCUUUCAGACUUUGGCGAGUAUAUCUCCGAAACGUUGCCUAUGACAAUAGUGGACAAGACACUAUUUCUUGUUUGCUUCAAAAUUGAUGGACCAGCUUGCUUAUUGUAGUAAGUAAACAACUUUAUUAUUAAGUAAAACUAUUUGCCUAUAAUUCUUAUAUGCCAAAGACUUAUUGUUUUUUUCCCUCCUAGUUAUGCGAAUUUUAUCAAUGUGCUCAUAAAUCAUCCAAGUCUGAUGAGUGACUUCAAAAGGCUUGAAUAUUUUGCCGAUAUUCACCAAUCGAAAAGACAUAGAACAAGGCCCAAUGAUUCCCACUUUCACAAGGUUAUUAAAAGCUUAACUUUCAUAGAUUCAAAAGAUUGGGACACCAAGAUUGUCGAAGAUGGUUAUCUCGACGAAGCAAAGCGACAUAGAGAAACAAACAAAAAAAAAAACUUAUCGAUGAGAUGACAUUGAAGAUUUAAUCAAGCUUAUACCGAACGUUUAUGUGCACCACACCCAAGAUGGAAACUUCACCGGGAUUAACAAGGAGAUAAAAACGAGUCUUUUCCAGGUUUUAUUGAGUCAUCUACGUGCUAUCUUAAGGAUGAAGAACGUCGAGGACUUUGUAUGAAAUGCAUGUAUCACUUUUGAAGUAUAUUAUUCCUUAGAGCUAAGAACACCAACUUUAUGGUGAAGUAUAUUCCUUAGAGCUAUGAAGUUUAAUUUCAUCGUAUGUUGAACCAAGUGUUGUUUUAAUGGUUUAUUUAUUGUUCCAGUGAUUUUAUGUGUUCACCUAGCUCUUAGCUUCUCAUAUCAUACUUUCUGCUUCUUUAUAACAAGGUUAAGUGUAUCCUCUAGUUGCCUCUUCUUGUGUUUUCUUGCUUUGUCAAGAGCGCCAUUGGCCUCUGCGCCAAUUAAUGAAAUACUUCAGUGUGUAUGAACAAGAAAAGCAGCAUGAUCUGGCUGCAGAUCACAAGCAAACUAGUGAAAAUAAAAAAUCUAGACAAAUUGAAGCAACAAGUAAUAAAGUACAAACUGAAAUUUUCCGCCAAGAAAAAAUUCAUUCUUUUCUAAAUGAAUACUAUUCCAACCAUUCAAAUUUCAAACAAUCAACCUUCAAUAAAUUCGAGCAUAAAAAGGAUCCACUAUUAUACCAUAUAGAUAUAUAACAGCUAUAAAUUAUAACCAUUCUUUCUAUAAAUAAAAAAGGGUCUAUAACCUGAAGUCCAUAAGCAAACGGUGACUUACUCAUCAGUUCAAGCUUAUCAAUCUGCUCCUUCAGAGUCUCAGGAUCCUUCUUCAAGAUCCCCACCUUUCUCACCUUCUUUCGUUCUUUUUUAUUCUUGUCAAGAACACCAGAAGAAACAUACAAAGGGAGUUUUAUUUCGGAAUUGCAUAAUUCUAAGAAGAGGAGGCACAAGCAUACGCUAUCAAACGCACUUAACAGAAGGAAAAAAAAAACUAGCAAAGGUAAUACUGAUUAAGCAUCACAGUCAUGCAUCCGCUCUCCAAAUACGUCUGUGUGUGAACAUAUAUAUACCAUUCUCGACCUUUCGGCUAAGAUCAAAGUGUGUGAGGCUGUGCAAACUGCCUGAUAUAACUUUUCAAUGGUGAUACAAAAUAAUAGCAUCGGCCUUUCAUGAAGUUAAUGCUCUCAAGUCCAUUUACAAUAAGCCAAUGCCUGCUUCAGUAUGCUUACAUCUUUAUUUCAAAAACAACAAUGGUAAAAUGGUAAUGCAGAUGCCAAAUCCAAUCCCAAAUAAAAUUACUUUAAAAAAAAUUUACUAACUCUAAAUUGUAGUAAAAAUUUUGAAAUUUCAAUUGAAGUUUUACUUAUUCUAAUCUCAUGAGAAUUAGGGCAACACUGAAAUUAGACACAAUGGAGUACCAAAUUGCAAAAAUCGAACGAAUACAAACGAAAACGAACAACCCAGUUGCGAAUCGAGCACGGAAUCAAGGAAUUAACAGAAGAAAAAGAGCACAAAACGGCGUAGUUUUCAGAGAAGUAAUCGUUACCCGUUUCAAAUCCUUCUUCCGGAGCUCCUUCCGGUAAGCGUCCGUAGGGUUCAUCACCUUCCCUCCCUUCGUCGUCUUCAUAUUGAAUUCGCUUCAAAGCUUUUCUCUUUUUGCUGAUUCCAAUUCGGAUUUCAGGAAAUCUGCGGAAAACUCAAAUUACAGAGAGAAGCGUGGAUGAUGAAGGGAAAAUGUUUUGGGUAUUUUUUGCUCAAAAGAGUGAUGAAUGAAACCCCGACGAGAGCCCAAACCCCCACCUUGUUUUCUGUUGAUUUUCUCAGAGCAACUCCAGCGUUGCAAACCCGCAUAGGCAACUCACUAUUGAAUCUGUGAACAGUAAUUUUCUUUAAUAAACAGUAAUUAUUUUUUUGAUCUCCCCACUACACCGAAUAGUCAUGACAAUAGAUAAUAAAAUAUUAGUAUUUUUUCAUUUUAUAAAAUAAUAAAAAAUAAUUUUAUUUCAAAUUUCAAAUAUGAUUUUUAAUCGGUCUCAUUAUACAACGUAAAUUACAAUCAAAAGUAUUUGUGAAAAUAUAAAAUUGUGGUGUAAAGUGGAAGAUAAUGAUAAGAUAUUUAUAGAAAAAUUAAAUCUUUUUUAUUUUGAAAUUUUUUUCUGAUUUUUUAUUAAUUGUUUGCAUUUUUUUAAUUUUUUAUUAAUUUUAUAAAGUGGUUGACGUCAACCUUGCAUCAUGUGGCCUCAGGCUCUCGGGCCACCAAUUCAAGCUAGGUCUCCCCCGAGCCCAAUUGCACGCAUAGGCUGGAGCAGAUUGCUGGGGCUAUUGGGUCAUUUCUGUCGUCGGUCCAUCAGGCUCCAACUCCCACUGGAGUUGCUUUUAAACCAAACUCAACCCUGGGCUAAAUGCUAUUUUUUAGGUUUAUUCACCCCCUAACCCCAACCCAACUCAUGCUAAAUGUGUGGGUUAAAAGCUAAAACCUAAACAAAAGCCAGAUUUAGCUCAGGAUUAGUGGGGUUGGCCCACCAUAUAUGUGUUUUUUAUUUAGUUUUAUAUUUAUAAAUUCAUUGAAUCCAACGGUUAAGAUCUAAUUUGAUGAAAUUCAAAAGAAAAAAAAUAUUUAAAGGUCUAAAUUUAAAUCUAACGGCUAAAGUAAUAAAUAAAUGAAAUUUUUUAUGUGUUUCAUAUUUUUUUCAGUGUGUUUAACGAGCUUCAUGGUGUUAGAUUUUUCAAUAUUUGUUAGAAUCUAAAUAUUUUUAGAUUAAAAUGUUUAUAAAAUUAAAUUAGGAUAGUCUACAUAAUUUUUUUUCUUUUAAAAAAGUUACUUUAAAAAGAAAUUUAGCCUAAAUUUAUUUUUUAAUAAUCUUGGCUAAAAUUUUAGGCCAGAAGAGUUGGAGAAGAAAAGUUGUUUCUAGGCUAAAAUCUAAAUUUUAUGGGUUAAAAAUUUUAGGUUUUAGCCUAAGAGUUGGAGAUUGUCUUAAGAAUGCAGCUUUAUUUUUUUGUUUAUUAUUUUGUAAAACUAAAUUAGAGUUAAUUACAAAUUUGGUCUAGAUAUUUAGUGGUUUUUCCACUUUGGUCCAUAUUUUUUUGGUUUCAAGUUCGUCCCUGGAUUUUAAAAAAUGUGUCAAAAAUGCAUUUCACAGUGGUUUAAUUCAUCUCAUUUCUACUCUCUUAUUGGUUUUUAUUCUCUGAAUCUCUCUCUCAAAAAUGGAAAUAAAUAUGUUAAAUUAAAAAAUUAGAAUCAUUCUCAUAGAACUUGAAUUGCAACAUGUUGUAGGAGUUUGAUUAUUAUAAACUGAAAUUCAAAAUCAAUUUUCAUGCUCACUAUAAAUGGCUUAAGGACAAUGGUGAUGUCAGUGACGAAAAUUGACAAUUUAAUUCAAUUAUUUUGUAUAUUUGAACUGACCAUGGUGUACAAUAUUAGCCGACACGAAAUCAUCAUUUUUUUUUAUCAUUUUUGAACAAAUCAUAUCUUUUUAUUAAGCAUAUGUAUCAAUAUAAGUUUACGCACUUCUUUUCGCCUAUGCACUCCUUUCUUAAAUUAUGUCUCUUAAUUAUUCUUUAGUUAUUGAAUAUAAUAACAACUAAUAAAUAGAGUUUUAAUAAAAAGGGUUUGAAUCAAUUUUUUUUUCUUUUGAACAAGCGAUAUUAUCUACACUAAAAGGGUAGAUGGGUUGGCUAAGUCUCACAAUGACCUAGCAAAUUAGCAAUAAUGUGAUUCAAAUUCACUUUUUACAAAAAUCGAAUCUAAAACUUCUCACUUACAAGUUAAAGAAGAAUAUCAUUUGACUAUAGUACUAAGUGGUAAAUCAAAUUUUUCUUUAUUAAGAAUAUUUUAAAACUUCUGUUUACUGAAAAAAAUGACUUGAGAUUUAAUAAAAAUGACAAAAGUAUCAUACAACAUGCCAAAAAUAUUAAAACACAACAUCAAACUCUUUCUUAUAGCUCGUGCCCCUAACGGAGGUUAGCCCAAGUCCGUUAACACAUCUUCACUUAAUUUACGAAAUUGCCAUCGAGAUCCAAAAGACAAAUAAAACCAAAACUAAUUUAAUUUUCAUUCCCUGCUGUUCUUAACUUACAUCAAAUCCAAAUUUCCUUUUAAAACAACGUAUGAAAAUCAGCUCACGACAAUGAAAAUCGACACUAAAGCAAUAGGGGUUACGAACAUCGUCGUGUCGACGUUCUUAAUCACGUUCUCCAUCUAUUGCUUGUGGUCCAAGGCAAAGCAAUAAACAUCGACACGAUGAUGUUCGCAACCCAACAGAUUAAGAACGUGCAAGAGACAGAGUUGCACGACGAAAAUGUUAGCGCGACCCAUCGAAAACCCAGAAAAGCACAACAUUGUAUUAGAGGUCUUCCGAAUCACUUGGAUGCUUAUGCUGAGAGCCAGCCUAUUACUCUUCUUGGCAGCAGACUUGUAAACCUUGAGACGAGCCCGUCCAUCACACUUCUCGACACCAGACCUGGCAAGUUUGCGGCUCCCAUGUACAAACCUGACAAAAAAGACAGAAGCGCGAUGCUUGCUCCAGUUCUACCAGCUGCAAUAUAAGAACAACAAAGUAAAAUUUUGCAAGCAAAACAUGUAGAUUGUUUUCUGUACAUGACUUUAACUUGCACAAUGUUAACAUAUAACCCCUCGAGAUGCAGCAAACAGAAACGGAAAGUUUGUAUAUUUUUUUUUUUUUUUUUUUUUUUUUUGAAUCUAGUGUCUCCAGGUUUUUGACCCGACUACUCACUAGGCCACCCGCCUGACCCCACAACAUUUGGUAGGCAAGAAACUCUAGCAAUUGCUAGGUGGGUACCUUGAGAGGUGUCGAACCCCAGACCUCUUGGUAACAAACCAAGGGCCUGACCAUUAGACUAAACACUCUUAGGUAAAAAGUUUGUAUAUACAUACCCAGUUUCUUCUUUUUAUUCCUUUUCCUUCUCUUCUUGGCUGCACCCUGUGAAACUUCCGCCCUUUUCUUAUCCAGCUUGUCAGUCCCUUCUUUGGGUGCAAAAUCCUUGGCCAACUCAUCAGUCUCAUCUUCUUUAUGUAUAACAUCUUCCGUCGACUUGUCAGUCUCUUCUUCUUUGGAUCCAAAAUUCUUAGCCAACUUGUUAGUUUCUCCGGCAUUGGCUUCCAAAACCUCAGGCUUACUGAGACAUGAUAAAAUUACAAAUCAUUAUAACACAAUCAACAAGGUCUAUACUGCACUCUACGCAAACAAAAACGACAACGUCUAUACUUUUGACACAAUUUUUUUUUUUAAAUUUGCGCAGAACUCACGUUCUCUGGCCUCUGAAAGGCAUUUCAAGCAAACUAACUGCUUAUCGAUCAAAGUAGGGCAUGCAUAAACUUGAAGAAAUAACUACAUUUCUGGUUCCUAAUCUUUCCAAGUGCUUUUUCUGGAUAAGCUGCUGAGUUCUCCAUAUUCUCAAGUUACAAUUACUAAUCCUACCAUCCUCAAGCUUCCACAAAAAGUUAAACACAUCAAGAGUCUAUGUAACAUCCCACAUCGCUCAGGGGAGUGAUCCUUAAAUGUAUAUUCUCAUCCCUACCUAGCACAAGGUCUUUUGGGAGCUCACUGGCUUCGGGUUCCGUAGGAACUCAGAAGUUAAGCGAGAAGGAGGCCAGAGCACUCCCAGUGAGUUCCCAGAAACAAAACCGUGAGGGCGUGGUCAGGGCCCAAAGCGGAUAAUAUCGUGCUACGGUGGUGGAACGGGCCCAGGAUGUGGUGGAUCCGGGCCGGGAUGUGACAGUCUAAGACAAGUUAUGUCAAUCCUAUCAACCAUUUAAGCGACACCGUCAUCCUUUUUUUUCUUUUUAGUUCAGCAUAACUAACACCAGGGGCUCCGCAAAUGUAACAUGUCAGAUUAAUUUCAAAAUAUUCUAUAAUUCCGUUAAGAGAGUACAUUUGCAUACGUUGGCAUGGUUAACUGUUAACUUGACACCAGGCCUACAUAAGCUGCAAAACAAUUCUUAAUAAUGCGAUGCACAUCCAAGUAAAACAAAAUUGGAUGGAUUAUAUGUUCUGCAAGAUAAACAUGGAGUGUGUAUUCAGGGGAAAAAUGGAAAGUCCAUAGAGAGAGAGAGAGAGAGAGAGAGAGUCUGACCUAUUGGAAUUCUUUUCCUUCAUUUUGCUUCUCUCUCUGGCUAACCACUGUCAAACCCAAAAUUAUUAUCAGAAAACUAGAACACAGACAAAUAAAAUCCAUAGGCAUACACAACUGAUUCUUUAACUCAACAAGCAAUAUUAAACAAACAGAUUCCAAACAGAUGCAUGUGUUUCACCUGCUGUACCAGCUUUAGCUGCACUUUCUUGUCUCCACUGAGUUCAAAUUCAUCAAAUUGUCUGAGACAUGAACGGAUCAGAAAUCACAAACAGUUUGAUAAAUAAAAAAGUAAUGGGAGUGUGCCAUGCUGAAAUUGAAAUACGCGUGAAUGAAUUCACAUUGUGAAGUAUAAACAAGUUAUGUUAAUCCUAUUAACUAUUCAAGUGACAUUGUCAUUACCAAAUUUGACAGCAGGCCUUAUAUAAGCUGCCAAAACAAUUGAUAAUAUUGCAAUGCACAUCCGAGUUAAACAAAAACGGAGAGAGAGUCUGACCUGAUGAACUUAUUAUUUUCCUUCGUUUUGCCUCUCCGUCUGGCUGCCCACCAUCAAACCCAAUAUUGUUAUCAUAAAACUAGAACACAAACAAAAAUAAAAUCCGUGGCAUACACAACUGAUUCUUAUGACUCAACACAGAAGAUUAAAUAAAAAAGAUUCCAUAUAGAUGCUUGUGUUUCACCUGUACCAUCGCUGCCUGAAAUUUGUUGUCUUCUUCGGGUUCAAGAUCCUUAAAUUGUCUAAGACAUGAAAGAAUCAGAAAUCAUAUACAGUUUGAUAACAAAACAUGUAAUGUGAUGUGACGUCAUGAAACUGAAAUUAUAGGGAGAUUUGAAACAUAAAAGUCUUGAAGGAACUCAUGGUGUGAAGCAGUAACCAAGUUCGAAUCCACCAGAAAUCUGAAUAUCAAUGUCACGACCAACAGAACAUAAAGUCUUGAUACACCUUUCCCCUGAACCGUCAUUGACAAUUUCUAAUGUUGUGAUCCACAGAGGUUGAAAUCCCCUGCCCCUGCUGCAAAAGAAAGUUUGCAGGAGACAAAAUCUUAAUUCCCCCAAAUGAACCAAAGACUCUGUUACAGUGUUGUCCAACUCAAGGAAACUUGUGAACUCCGGAAACUUGAAUAGAUUCUUUACGGUAAAGAGAAUGCGACCACUAGGAUCUGAAUCCAUCCCAAGAGAGAAGAUAUGAUAACCCCGCUCACUGUAGAUGCGGCGUAGAUAACAUCGUUUACGACGACAGCCCUCCCCACAAAAGAAGGAUAAGGCUUAGUACCAGUCAUAUCAUCAUCAACUGUAGGUACGUAAACUGGGUGCCAUGUUUCACUGGCAAUGUGAAAAAAGCACGAACUCAGAUGGUCCAAAGUCAUACAAUGAAAUUAGAAAAUACAACCGUAACAAACAGUCGAGCCCAUAACUCCACAUAGGAAGGUCCCGUUUUCUGACCAUAUUUUGGAAAAGGAUUGAGAGGCUCCCAAAUGUCCUUGGGAUUAUAACACUCAAACGAUGGAUUUGUUAUAAGGGGGAAGGAUGCUGGAUCAGUAAGAUGGUAAAGC